GCCCUGAAAAUGGAUGGCGCUCUAGCGUCGUGCCUAUACCGGGCCGUCAACGGCAAAGUUGGUUUUUCGGAGCCGUUAAGCCUUGACGAGUAGGAGGGUCGCGGCGGUGUGCGCAGAAGGGUCAGGGCGUGAGCCCGCCUGGAGCCGCCGUCGGCGCAGAUCUUGGUGGUAGUAGCAAAUACUCUAGCGAGGGCCUGGAGGACUGACGUGGAGAAGGGUUUCUUGUGAACAGCCGUUGCACAAGAGUCAGUCGACCCUAAGCCCUAGGAGAAAUCCGAUGUUGAUGGGUGGCUAAACAAGAAUCCAUGUUCUGAUUGUUACUUUCCGAUCGUCCAAAUUCAGUCCAAAACGUCGGGCCGUUUUCCUUGUGUGCAAGCACGGGACGGCCGUUCGGUGGCGGACUUGCUUUUUGACGGUCGGGCUCAUCCUGCCCCACGUCCAAACCGUCUCCUGAAGGGGAGCCGGUUCGGACGGCGAGCGGCUGGUUUGACGCAACUACGUGACAACAGCUCCUGUCGGGCAAAAGGGAAUCCGGUUCCUAUUCCGGAACCCGGCUGCGGAACCGUCAUUCAGCGGGCACUCGCCUGCGAGCGCUCGUCGGGGUAACCCAACCUGGCCCGGAGACGCUGGCGGGGGGUCUGGAAAGAGUUUUCUUUUCUUUAUAAGCGUUCGAGUACCCUGGAAUCCUAUAGCAGGGAGAUAGGGUUUGGAACGCGAAGAGCACCGCAGUUGCGGCGGUGUCCGGACCUUCCCCCCGGACCUUGAAAAUCCGGGUGAGGGCUACGUGGAAGUCGCGCCGGAUCGUACCCAUAUCCGCAGCAGGUCUCCAAGGUUAAGAGCCUCUAGUCGAUAGAAUAAUGUAGGUAAGGGAAGUCGGCAAAUUGGAUCCGUAACUUCGGGACAAGGAUUGGCUCUGAGGAUCGGGGCGUGUCGGGCUUGGUCGGGAAGCGGGUCAGUGCCAUCGUGCCGGGCCUGGGCGAGGUGACGGUGGUGUAGGGAGCAAUCCUGAAGCCCCAGAUCUGAGCUCGGUCCCGGCCUUGGCCUCCCGCGGGUCUUCCUUGCUGCGGGGUGUCGGUUUUGGACGCAGCUGGGCCUCCGGCCCGCUGUGGACGCCGAGUUUGUCCCUUCGGCCGCCAUUCAACGAUCAACUCAGAACUGGCACGGACCGGGAGAAUCCGACUGUCUAAUUAAAGCAAAGCAUUGCGAUGGCUCUAACUGAGUGUUUACGCAAUGUGAUUUCUGCCCAGUGCUCUGAAUGUCAACGUGAAGAAAUUCAAGCAAGCUCGGGUAAACGGCGGGAGUAACUAUGACUCUCUUAAGGUAGCCAAAUGCCUCGUCAUCUAAUUAGUGACGCGCAUGAAUGGAUUAACGAGAUUCUCAACUGUCCCUAUCUACUAUCUAGCGAAACCACUGCCAAGGGAACGGGCUUGGAAAAAUUAGCGGGGAAAGAAGACCCUGUUGAGCUUGACUCUAGUCUGGCACUGUAAGGAGACAUGAGAGGUGUAGCAUAAGUGGGAGACGGUGGGCCCUCAAGCUUUUCCGUUCGACGGUGAAAUACCACUACUUUCAUCGUUUCCUUACUUACUCGGAUAGGCGGAGAGCGCGUUUGACCAGGAUUUCACCCUGGCGAACCGGUAUUCUUGCCCCAAGCGUACGAGGGUUGCCGGCACGCGUGCUGCAGGGUGCGAGUUUGUGUGGGAAGGUGGUGGCCGCUCUUCGGGCGGUCAAGUUGCCGGCCCCCUGCUUGUGCCUGGCCAGUUCGCUGCUGACCGGCAAACGUUCCCUCACGUGAUCCGAUUCGAGGACACAGCCAGGCGGGGAGUUUGACUGGGGCGGUACAUCUGUCAAAUGAUAACGCAGGUGUCCUAAGGCCAGCUCAGCGAGGACAGAAACCUCGCGUAGAGCAAAAGGGCAAAUGCUGGUUUGAUCCCGAUGUCCAGUACGCAUAGGGACUGCGAAAGCACGGCCUGUCGAUCCUUU
rnacentral:rRNA from 1 species